rnacentral:rRNA from 1 species
AUUGAACGCUGGCGGAGUGUUUUACACAUGCAAGUCGAACGGCAGCACGGACUUCGGUCUGGUGGCGAGUGGCGAACGGGUGAGUAAUGUAUCGGAACGUGCCCAGUCGUGGGGGAUAACGUAGUGAAAAUUACGCUAAUACCGCAUACGAUCUAUGGAUGAAAGCGGGGGAUCGCAAGACCUCGCGCGAUUGGAGCGGCCGAGAUCAGAUUAGGUAGUUGGUGGGGUAAAGGCCCACCAAGCCAACGAUCUGUAGCUGGUCUGAGAGGACGACCAGCCACACUGGAACUGAGACUCGGUCCAGACUCCUACGGGAGGCAGCAGUGGGGAAUUUUGGACAAUGGGCGAAAGCCUGAUCCAGCCAUUCCGCGUGCAGGAUGAAGGCCCUCGGGUUGUAAACUGCUUUUGUACAGAACGAAAAGGUUUCUACUAAUACUAGGAGCUCAUGACGGUACUGUAAGAAUAAGCACCGGCUAACUACGUGCCAGCCGCCGCAGUAA